rnacentral:sRNA from 1 species
UGGUGUGCUAUGCCGACGACACGUUGGUGAC